rnacentral:rRNA from 1 species
CGCACGGCAUUUGGGUUUAGUCCGUACGAGCGCAACCUUGUCCCUAGUUGCCAGCACGUAAUGGUGGGAACUCUAGGGAGACUGCCGGUGACAACCCGGAGGAAGGUGGGGACGACGUCAAGUCAUCAUGGCCCUUACGGCCUGGGCUACACACGUGCUACAAUGGGCUGUACAGAGGGCAGCCACUUCGCGAGGCCAAGCAAAUCCCUUAAAACUGUUCGUAGUCCGGAUUGAAGUCUGCAACUCGACUCCAUGAAGUCGGAAUCGCUAGUAAUCGAGGAUCACAAUGCCGCGGUGAAUACGUUCCCGGGCCUUGUACACACCGCCCGUAUAC